AUGGCUCAGGAUGAACGCUAGCUACAGGCUUAACACAUGCAAGUCGAGGGGCAUCAUGGAGUUUGCUUGCAAACUCUGAUGGCGACCGGCGCACGGGUGAGUAACGCGUAUCCAACCUUCCCUAUAGUAGAGGAUAGCCCGGCGAAAGUCGGAUUAAUACUCUAUGUUUUCCGUUGCAGACAUCUAAGAUGGAACAAAGGCUUGCCGCUAUAGGAUGGGGAUGCGUCUGAUUAGGUAGUCGGCGGGGUAACGGCCCACCGAGCCAUCGAUCAGUAGGGGUUCUGAGAGGAAGGUCCCCCACAUUGGAACUGAGACACGGUCCAAACUCCUACGGGAGGCAGCAGUGAGGAAUAUUGGUCAAUGGGCGAGAGCCUGAACCAGCCAAGUAGCGUGCAGGACGACGGCCCUAUGGGUUGUAAACUGCUUUUAUGCGGGGAUAAAGUUCACUACGUGUAGUGUUUUGUAGGUACCGCAUGAAUAAGGACCGGCUAAUUCCGUGCCAGCCGCAGC
rnacentral:rRNA from 1 species